GCAAACUGAAAUCACUAAUUAAAGGGAUAAAUCAGUGUUUUCAAGUUGAGGUUCGAGUAAAAACUGGCAGCACAGUCACCUUACUGCAGAAAGGUAGACUUCAUAGUGGAUGCUGUGAUGGUGAGCUGGUCAGGUCCUGGUGAAGCAAAGUAUCCCCAAACCAUAACACUUCCUGCACUAUUCUCCCAGUUGGUAUGCUGGAGCUCCUCCCUGCUGGCCUGCUGCAGCCUCCCACAGCUUGAAGCCAGCCAGCAGCCACAGCUGCCUCCAAUCUGGAGAGACGGAAAAAUUCAGAUGCCCAAGAUGAGAGGAGGGCUGAGUCUGAAGAUAGUUUUAAGGAUUGGAGUGUGUUUCAAGGCAUGAGCAGUUGA